rnacentral:rRNA from 1 species
UGGGGAAUAUUGCACAAUGGAGGGAACUCUGAUGCAGCGACGCCGCGCGAGAGAUGAAGGAAUUCGCUUCGUAAAACUCUGUACUAUGGGAAGAAAAGGACUGUACCAUAGGAGAAAGCUCCGGCUAAAUACGUGCCAGCAGCCGCGGUAAUACGUAUGGAGCGAGCGUUGUCCGGAAUUAUUGGGCGUAAAGGGUGCGCAGGCGGCUUUACAAGUUGGAUGUGAAAUAUUGUGGCUGAACCACACACGUGCAUCCAAAACUGCAAAGCUUGAGUUAAGGAGAGGUAAGUGCAUUUCCUUGUGUAGCUGUGGAAUGCGUAUAUAUCAGGAGGAAUACCGGUGUCGAAGGCGACUUACUUGCCUUAUUCUGACGCUCCGGCACGAAAGCGUGGUGAGCAAACAGG